rnacentral:tRNA from 1 species
GCGGCCGGCUGGUCGGAUCUGGUCGCGGCCGAGCGGCUGCUGGCCGGUCUGGGUCUGGUCCCGCUGCCGGUCCCGCCGUAC